rnacentral:rRNA from 1 species
GACGAACGCUGGCGGCGUGCUUAACACAUGCAAGUCGAACGGAGUGGCGAACGGGUGAGUAACGCGUAAUCAACCUGCCCUUCAGGGGGGGACAACAGUUGGAAACGACUGCUAAUACCGCAUACUGAUGGAGGGGAUUGUGUCUGAUUGGCUAGUUGGAGGGGUAACGGCCCACCAAGGCGAUGAUCAGUAGCCGGGCUGAGAGGAGGAACGGCCAAAUUGGGAACGAGAAAAGGGCCAGACUCCUACGGGAGGGAGCAGUGGGGAAACUUCCGAAAUGGACGAAAGGCUGACGAAGCAACGCCGCGUGAGUGAUGACGGCCUUCGGGUUGUAAAGCUCUGUUAAGCGGGACGCGGUACCGGAAUAGAAAGCCACGGCUAACUACGUGCCAGCAGCCGCGGUAAUUC